AGCAAUGAACUGCUCCAGCCAAAGCUGAUGGAUGAUUCCACUUUUGCGGAGCUAGAACAGACAAUGUGUACCAGAUGCUGGUGAACUGUGAUGUGGAUGGCCUCAACCUACUCUGCCCGAGAAUAAUCAUUCAGACAGUAAAACUGACGCUUUCUCAUGAGCAUCACCAUAUUUGGAAGCCUUAGAGAAACUGGAGAGGAGUCCUAGUACUCCCAGGGGUGAGCCACGGGAUUCAAGCUCAUGUGACAAUUCAGGACCAUGGACAACAACUGGGGGCCUCACCUGCCUCCACCUCCAAGUUCAAAAGUCUGGAGAACUGUCGAUGCCUUUGGAGAACUCACCCAGACUCAACGACUGUGGAAGCAGAGACAAAGAGCAACAACAGAAGAAUGUGAAGAAUAAGAAGGGGGACAAAAUACUCAAGGGAGGAAAUAUAGGGACAAAGGGUGAAGCAGGGAUUGAAGGAAAGGCCAUCCAGAGACUGCCCCACCUGGGAAUCUAUCCCAUAUACAGUCACUAUUGCUGAUGCCAAGAAGUGUUUGCAGACGGGAGCCUGAUAUGGAUGUCUCUUGAGAGGCUCUGCUAGAGCCUUACUGAUUCAGAUGAGGAUGCUUGCAGUGAACCAUCAGACUGAGCACAAAGACCCCAAUGGAGGAGUUAAAGGAAGGACAGAAGGGGCCGAAGGGGAUUGCAACCCUGCAGGAAGAAAACAGUAUCAAUCAACCAAAUCCUCUAGAGCUACCAGGGACUAACCAACCAAACCAUCAACACAUGGAGUGACCCAUGGAUCUACCUGCAUAUGUAGCAGAGAACGGCCUUGUUGGACACCAAUGGAAAGAGAGGCCAUUGGUUCUAUGAAGGCUUGUUUCCCUAGUGUAGGGGAGUGCCAGAGUGUUGAGGUAGGAGUGGGUGGGUGAGAGUGGGAGCAUCCUCAUAGAAGCAGAGGAAGUAGGGGAAUGAGAGGGGGAAAGAGAUAACAUUUGAAAUAUAAAUAGAUAAAUAUUCAACUAAAAAAAACCCCAAGGACUCUGUUGUAGGAGAAUGGAAGACUGUUGCGACCCAGCUCUUCCCUCCACUAACAUGGCCAGGUUUAUACUGUGAUCUGUGCCAACAUGCUUCACUUUAAUUCCCACAAUCACAACACUCAGAAGGCAUUAUUCUUCCUACUUUAAUAGACUUACAGACCUAUGUAACUGACCCAAGCUGUGACUGAGCCAGCAGCAAUAAUGUAAAGGUAUCUGACCCCAAAGCAUUGGUUUUCUCAUCACGUUUCCUGUCGAUGAGUACACAAAACCUUCUUUAAUUCAUUGUCUUCCAAACAGACAGGAUUCUAUUUCCUCAUAUGGGAACAAGUCAACAGAACUGAUAGGUUAAGUAUACCACUGUUCUUCCCUGGAAGAAAGAAUUGUGCUCCCCCUUGCUAACCAGUAGGCAAAACCACUUCCCUAGUCUCAUUGAGAUUGUACAGUUCUGUGAAACAUGACAGGAGGCAAAAGCUGGCACACACACAAAAAGGAGUUACAAAUGCAUGGUACAGUAGUAGGUCUAGGAGCUUUCAAAAUUAUUUUUGUUUUCAUAAAAUUUGUUUUAGAUUUAUUUUAUUAUUUUAUGUGUAUAUUUUACUUAUUUUUAUAUGUGUCCCACGUGGUUCCUGAUGCCCACCGAGAUGAGCAGAGAGUUUCGUAUCUGUUGGGACUGAAGCUAAAGACAGUUUUGAACUGCCAUGUGAGUGCUGGGAAUUGAACAUGAUACAUGGAUCCUUUGCAGAGGAAAUAAGAGCUCUGAAGUGGGAAACCAGAACAGACAGUACCAGGAUGCCAGUUGUGUGCAUUCAGAGAACACUGUAGAAGAGGAACAAGAAACAGUCAAAGACCAAGAUGUUACUGAAAUAUUGCCUUCCUCUGAAAUGGAGUUCCAUUCUUCUCACUUCUGAACCACUUUUAUAAAAAUAAUUCCAUUAAAUUCCACCAUUAUGUAAGUAGUGUAUACAAAUGUUUGUUCCAGAACACAUAAAGGAUGAAAUACGAAUGGAAAGCUUCCAUUGUGCCCAUGACUACUCUCAAAACUUCCCAUUGGAUAAAUAUUGUAGGCACCCCCACCACAGCCUCAAGUAUGAGGAAAUCUGAACAUACGUCUCUGCAUCUACUUGUAUACCAGCUCUAACCAACAUGUGAUAUUAUAAUAGUGUCCUGUGAUCAUGAAAAUUACUCUCAGGAUUGGCCUGGUCUUGGUACAUCAGAAAAAAAGCCAACAACCUGAGACACAAAAUGAAAUGGAAAGAAUCUUUUGAAUAGGAAGUGCCUGGAUAAAGAUGUCGAGAACAGCAAAACACGAAGCCCACAAAAAACUGGAAAGUAUUUCAUAUUGAGAAUGGACCAAUCAAAGCAAAUUAUUCAUCAGAGAUAUUCCAGGAAGUGCAGACGGACAUUUAGACAAAGUCAUGCAAAAGGAAAGUGCACAGGACCUCAGGCUGAAGCCAGAACACCCUGUGGUAGUAAGAAAUCUCAAGGUAAUUCACUCCAGGCCUCUGACAUCUGUCCUGUCCCUUACUGUUUGUUACCUUUAUCACCUGUGCCUCAAAUAAACACUACGCACCAUGAUAUUAAUUCAUU